CGAUUGAUAAAAUGUACUUAACUGAUAUCAUUUUACAAAAUCAAAUUGAUAUGAACAAUGUGUUUGUAACCGUCACGUAAAGUUGGACUGUUCUUCAUUUUGGGAAUAAAUUGGCGUACGUAUCUAUACCAGAAAAUAUAUCAAAUAAAGACUAAUGAUUACCUGAGAGUCGGGAACCAUGCUUGAAACUACACACCACUGGUUGCCCAUCAUAAUUGCAGUCUAUGUACCCGUGUCUUUCGUUAUUACAUACUCAAUAGCCGUUAAGAACAAACAUGUUGAGCCCGUCUUCCCGUAUGUCAGUUAUACUGGAACCAUACCUCCAGAAAGUUGUGUGUUUGGUCAAUUGCUCAACAUUGGUGCUGCUUUAGCGGGCGUUAUAAUUUAUACAAGAUAUCGUCAAAUUCUGUACCAUUUUGAGCAAAACAGUCCAGCGAAAUAUUUAUUACAUAUAAACACUGCCGCUUUCAUUACUGGACUCCUUACCAUAUUUGGUGUUAGCUUAGUUGGGAACUUCCAGGCAACAAAUAUUUUGGAAGUCCAUCUACUUGGUGCUUUUUUGGCGUUUGGUGUGAGUUUUGUUUACAUGAUACUGCAGACAAUCAUUUCUUGCAAGUCGGUCCCUUCUGAAAAUGACGGAAAUUCUCCUUGCAUCAAAGGGUUUCGGAUUGUUUUAUGUGUCGUUGAUCUUGUGGUAUUAAUUCUGUUGGGAAUAUUGACUCCUGUAGCCAUAUCAAAGGGUCCCGGUCCUGGUAAAUCCAGACUACAUUGGUCCGCGGAUGAACCUGUAAGUUUUCACUACUUCCGGUAGACGGAGUACUUCCGUUUAAGAAAAGACGAUGUACACAGUACUGGGUAAAUGUACAUCAAAGGAUAUGCGGAACACCUGGUUGCAACAAUAUCGGAAUGGUUGGUAGCGUUCAUCACAGUGAUCUAUUUUGCUACGUUCUACAAGGAAUUCAAACAUUUCCGAAUGAAACCACCGGAAGUCAUCUAUUAUAACGAACAAACGGGAAUAGACUGGUGCUCGUGUUCAUUCUCUAUAUUUAAUAAAUGUAGCUCGGUAGUCAACCCAGUUGAGAACCAGGCUACAGAAGAAGCAAAAAAGUAAUAAGAGUUUUAAUUAAUAGGCAAAUAAUCACGUGACCAAAAACAAUAUCCGCGGGGGAUGUGGGGUGUGGGGGCAUAACAUUGUAGAACUAACAAUUGUAUUGAUUAGGAAUUGUAUCGAUUUGGCAGAUCACUACCAAAUCAAAUGUAAACCUCCGCUGGUCACAAGUAGUCCAAAUAUAAAUAGUGCUAAUCUUUCUCCCUUUCCUCGCGCCUUUUCUCAAUAGCAUCAUGUUUUCUAUUUUCUACUCUACCGCGUUCCAGUAUGAAUCACUAAGCAUUCUAUCGAAAUCGGCAUGUUCCUAUCGUAUGCUAGGUAAAAAUGACGGCGUAAGAAUCUAAUGUUGUGAAAAGAGAAAUUUAAAGAAGCGAAAAGGAGUAACUUCAGUGGGUUGUAUUUAACGGGCUGUAGUUUUCUUAUAUAAAAGUUAACACCCGCUUUUCUUUCUUUUUUUCUUUUUUUAAAGUAGCGAUAUAGUUUUUUAUGGGAAUAUAAGUCUCUGAAAAUCUGGUAUGCUAGAAAAUAUCGAAAAAAUAAACGUUUUAAAGUGAGUGGAUUUUAUAUAAACUAAAGAACAGCCGGAUUAAGUGGUGUUCAGCCAUCAAGGUAGUGGACCCGUAACGACCAUCGGCAAAUCACGUAUUCUCCGUAUACGAUUUCGAAAUUCUCUGAAUUUUACGGAAAUCAUUGUGCGUGUUCAGGUACAAUAGUAAUAAAUAGGUAACCAAGAAGCACUAAGCCUCAUUUUCCCCCAGUUAAAGUGGCAUUUUCGUGUUUUAUGUAAGCCAGCUCCUGUUUUUAUUUCAUUGUGGGUCUAUACUUAAUAUUUUGGUAGCAUUUUCAAAGAGAUUAUUUUUGCAUUUAUAGAAAUGUAAAUGAACCUUAUUACACAUGUGGCCAUACCCACAUUUUAGUCAGUUUAUAGUGUUGACCUGUCAGACAAAAAAAAAACUAUCUUAGAAGAUACGUUAUCCCUACCUUUCUUGGUGUUUUUGUGGUUUAUAGGUCAUUUAGGAACAUAAGGCUAGUAAUCCUUUUUAAAAUGGGCCUGUAUAAAUUUGAGAUACAUUUACGUCCGAAGAAUGCCGAAUCGCAAUACAUAUAAUACGAAAUCAUACGGAAAUUGCCGAGUGUCCUUACGGGUUCAUUGCCAUGUAGGAUAACGCUGUAUAACGCCUACGGUAAUUAACGAGAGGGCCCCAGCGUUUCCCGAUGGAUUCUGCAGACGCUGUAUCUUGUUCUAAUUAUCUGUUGUACAGUCGUAAAACGUUUACCAUUUUGUUAUGGAAUAUGCAUAUAUAUGUAUAUAAAAAUGUGUCAAGUAAUACCCAAUUAUAUGUUCGUCUCAGAGAUUUUAUGUCAAUAGAACCGUUAAACAAGUUACAACAAGAAUAUUUUAUUAUGAUUUAGUUUAUGAUUAUAUUUCAAUUUUGUGCGCAAAUGCAUCCUUUUUUACAGCCUAUAAGAUUAUAUUAAUCAUGUGAUUUUCUAAAAAAAAUUAUUUCAAAUGUAAAACUUCAAGACAUGA